rnacentral:lncRNA from 1 species
GGCCUUCAACUGGCUUCGGUUGCAUGUUCAUCUUAAUUUGGUGCUAUCCUAGCUGAGCUUUUUUAUUACUCUGGCCCUUCAUUUUUUUUUUAUAAUUUUUUUGACUUGUUGCCUUUUUGUUUUCCUUGGAUGUUUCGUGUUCUUGACCUUGUAAGACCUUUUCUUGACCUUGUAAGACCCCUUCUACUGUUUUCUACCAUUGUUUUUCGUUUUGUUUCAAAUCUUAUACUAGAGUUUCCCCGUGUAAGAUUCCACCAUUUUCCUUCUGCACUCUCACCCAACUCAUGUUCUCCUUCCUUGUCUAUCCCUCC